rnacentral:rRNA from 1 species
AUUGAACGCUGGCGGCCGGCCUAACACCUGCAAGUCGAACGAGUGGCGGACGUGUGAGUAAUGUCUGGGAAACUGCCUUAUGGAGGGGGAUAACUACUGCACACGGUAGCUAAUACCGCAUACCAUCGGAUGUGCCCAGAUGGGAUUAGCUAGUAGGUGGGGUAACGGCUCACCUAGGCGACGAUCCCUAGCUGGUCUGAGAGGAUGACCAGCCACACUGGAACUGAGACACGGUCCAGACUCCUACGGGAGGCAGCAGGGGGGAAUAUUGCACAAUGGGCGCAAGCCUGAUGCAGCCAUGCCGCGUGUAUGAAGAAGGCCUUCGGGUUGUAAAGUACUUUCAGCGGGGAGGCGUUACCCGCAGAAGAAGCACCGGCUAACUCCGUGCCAGCAGCCGCGGUAAUUC